CAAAUUUUGAGCAGUGUACAGUAGCACUUGUUGUUUAUCAUUUCUCCGAUCACAAAUGCAGACAUGGUUUUAUGUUUACGUGGCGCAAUAUGCGACGCAACGGGUAAAAAGACAGUGUCCCCAGUGGAUGCAACAAAUGGCUCGUUUGUAAUGGGUUUUAUUGUUUUUGUCCUGUCAUGCCGGUGUUCUGACCAGGACACACCAUAACAGUAUAUGUUGAGGGGCGUAACAUUUCCGUCAGACGCUUGAAACAUUUGGCCAAUCACAAUGCACUGGAUAGCUGGCCAAUCAGAGCACAACUCGCUUUUCAGACCGAUGAGCUUUGUAAAAAACGAUGCGUUUCAGAAGGCGGGGCAUAGAGAAGAAACAAUAAUGUACAUUAUGUGAAAAAUAAUGUGUUUUGUUAACCUUAAACCGCAUAAACACAUUUCAUUACACCAAAUACACAAAAUAAUGUUCUUUUUAGCAACAUCAUAUGACCCCUUUAAGUUAUCUAGCAUGUUUGCAGGCAUGACGUUAAUCUUAAGGAACUUAGCAUUUGGUGGCAUAUUGGUUGGCCAGGACAGCAAAGAAAUAUGUCAUGCCAAAGACAAACGUGUCUUCUCAUUCAAAACCUUUCAGAUGUGUUAACAUUACAGGCUGGGGAAGCAUUAGCCAGGACAAACUCAAUGUCAAUGAUGUCAAGGAGCCGCGGCAGAAUAAAAGCUUUGCGAAACCAGCCCAUCUAAAUGCCUCUAGGGCUCUUAUCGACUUCUCUGAUAUAUGUGCAGGUAAUGUGUGAAAAAAUGACAGCUACUAUUGCAGAUGUGGCAAGGACGUGGUAUGUAUCUUGAAUAAAAAUAUGCAUCGCAUUAACCUUUGAUUGAAUGUUCAUAUUAUUGCACAGUUAAUCUCUGCCAUGCAAUAAUGGUUGAGUAUGUGUGCAUGACCAGCCCAUACAGUCGAUGACUCAUCGUGCAGAUGAACUAUCUGAAACCACAGUGUUGUGGACUUCAUCCGCUGCACUGCAUGGCUGCUGGGGUUCUGUUAGGCAUGCAGAGAGGGGAAUCCCGCCUAAGACGGAGCGUGCAUGAGCAUUUCUGCGGCUGCGCGGAUGUUCCCGAACAGCAGACCAUUAAUGAGGAUGACUCAUCCCUAGAAACCCCACUGGAUGGGUGCGGAGUCCAAACCUUCUGCAAGUUCUGCUUAGUAAGACUUCACUGGCCUUCUUCUAAUGAGCUGCAGUGGAACCAGCUCCAGCAAACCCAACGGUCCAACCUAUCAGGAAGUAAUCACCACUCUAAUCAGCCAUAAAGAUGAUGUCUCAGCAUAGACAACAGGUGCAAUGUAGCUGAUCGGUAUUCCGGUGGGACAAGACUUCCUUCCCAGAGAGAAUGCACGGUAAGCAGUUCACCAUCAGACCUGAUGUGAGCCCUGGAGUGAUUACAUUCAAAUGUAUUCAGAAAAUCCACAUGAGAAGGAUGAACAGUGACUCAACGUCAAUAUACGUGGAAAUCUGCAAAGAGUACAUGGAGAUUAAACCAGAACACAUGGCUUGUUUGCUUUAUGCUUUUUAAUAAGCUGAGACAUUGAUUAAAGUGCUCCAUAUCCAUUGAUAUGCAGUGAAAACGCAAAGCAAAUGCAAACAAAUGUUCUCCAUUCCUAAUAUAUACAGUAUAUCUACGGACAUACAACUAUUUUGAAAAGAAAAAAUGUAAAAAUGGCAUUAAGGCAUGUUUUUGCAGCAUUUUACUUUUUUUUAAGUCACUUUGGAUAUAAUUCUAGUCUUAGAAUUCAACUACUAACUGUUUUUUUUUAUGUUUGCAUUUAUCUAUCCACUUUAGUUUCAAACCAAUAAAUGUUUUUAUCCGGCCGUGUAAGAACA
ensembl:lncRNA